UACGUAGGGGGCAAGCGUUGUCCGGAUUUAUUGGGCGUAAAGCGCACGUAGGCGGUCUGUCGCGUCGGCUGUGAAAACCCGGAGCUCAACUCCGGGCCUGCAGUCGAUACGGGCAGACUGGAGUUCGGCAGGGGAGACUGGAAUUCCUGGUGUAGCGGUGAAAUGCGCAGAUAUCAGGAGGAACACCGGUGGCGAAGGCGGAUCUCUGGGCCGAUACUGACGCUGAGGAGCGAAAGCGUGGGGAGCGAACAGG
rnacentral:rRNA from 1 species